rnacentral:rRNA from 1 species
UACGUAGGGGGCAAGCGUUACCCGGAUUCACUGGGCGUAAAGCGGGUGUAGGCGGCUCGGUAAGUCGGGCGUGAAAUCCCACGGCUCAACCGUGGAAUUGCGCCCGAAACUGCUGAGCUUGGGGCCGGUAGAGGGAGACGGAACUGCCGGUGUAGGGGUGAAAUCCGUAGAUAUCGGCAGGAACGCCGGUGGGGAAGCCGGUCUCCUGGGCCGCGCCCGACGCUGAGGCCCGAAAGCUAGGGGAGCAAACCGG